GGGACAAAUUUACCAUGUGUUAUCUCUUCUAAUAAUGCUCAUACUCAUAGUGUCUCUACGGGAACCUCAGCUCCAUCUCAUACGGCUCUUCGACAACUUAAUCUGGUUGACUACUGUGCUCUUGCAGGUCUAAAAUCCAUAGCUCAUAUCGCACAUCGUCAUAAGCUUCCAUGUGCCUUGCUAGCUUCUAUUGACGAUGAUGAAACACUAAGUUGAUUCUCAAUUACAAAUCCAACUACGCAUUGGCAUACUGCCAUAUUUGAAGAGAUC
rnacentral:lncRNA from 1 species